rnacentral:rRNA from 1 species
AGUUAACCUAACCUAUGGAUGGGGAUAACCUCGGGAAACUGAGAAUAAUCCCCGAUAGAUCACAAUGCCUGGAAUGGUUUGUGAUUCAAAUGAUUUAUCGCCGUAGGAUGGGACUGCGGCCUAUCAGCUAGUUGGUGAGGUAAUGGCCCACCAAGGCUAUAACAGGUACGGGCUCUGAGAGGAGGGGCCCGGAGAUGGGUACUGAGACACGGACCCAGGCCCUAUGGGGCGCAGCAGGCGAGAAACCUUUGCAAUGUGCGAAAGCACGACAAGGUUAAUCCGAGUGUCUUCUGCUAAAGAAGUUUUUUGUUAGUCAUAGAACCACUGAUGAAUAAGGGGUGGGCAAGUUCUGGUGUCAGCCGCCGCGGUAAAACCAGCACCUCGAGUGGUCAGGAGGUUUAUUGGGCCUAAAGCAUCCGUAGCCGGUUGUUUAAGUUUUCGGUUAAAUCUAUGCGCUUAACGUAUAGGCUGCCGAAAAUACUGGACAGCUAGGGAGUGGGAGAGGUACACGGUACUCAAUAGGAAGGGGUAAAAUCCUUUGAUCUGUUGAUGACCACCUGUGGCGAAGGCGGUGUACCAGAACACGUUCGACGGUGAGGGAUGAAAGCUGGGGGAGCAAACCGGAUUAGAUACCCGGGUAGUCCCAGCUGUAAACGAUGCAAACUCGGUGAUGCAUUGGCUUGUGGCCAAUGCAGUGCCGCAGGGAAGCCGUUAAGUUUGCCGCCUGGGAAGUACGUACGCAAGUAUGAAACUUAA